GAAGUGAUGAAGUAUCGACAGGCAUGUUGUCUUGAUAUAUGUAUUAUUAUGUGUACGUGUUUGGUGGUAGAACGAAGGAAGAGAGACAGAGAGAGGGAGGUGUUUUCCUUUUCUCUUGAUUUAUAUUUGUUUUAUAUAAGACCAAAGUCUGAAGAUGCAAGGGAAUUCAUUUUGAUUCCGAAGAAUUUUCUAACUGAUAAAAUAAGAUAACAUGACGGAUUCAUAUCAGAGGUGUUAAUAGUUCCAUAUUAUGUAUUGAAAUAUCUACAACAGUUAUCGAUAAUAUUAUGUAUUAUUAUGUGUACGUGUUUGGUGGUAGAACGAAGGAAGAGAGACAGAGAGAGGGAGGUGUUUUCCUUUUCUCUUGAUUUAUAUUUGUUUUAUAUAAGACCAAAGUCUGAAGAUGCAAGGGAAUUCAUUUUGAUUCCGAAGAAUUUUCUAACUGAUAAAAUAAGAUAACAUGACGGAUUCAUAUCAGAGGUGUUAAUAGUUCCAUAUUAUGUAUUGAAAUAUCUACAACAGUUAUCGAUAAUAUUGUAAAAUGAAAGAAACUAGAAAGAAUAUAAAAUUUAAUCGUGGUUGGACAUUGUAUUUACAUCCACAAGAGUUUUUAUUUUCAUUAUAUAUAUAUAUAUAUAUAUAUAAUAGACUCUAAAUUGUUUAAAGGAUAUUAGAGAAUUUUUUAAUAAUACUAAUUUAUUGUACCGCUAGGGCAUUGCCCCCACAUGCUCAACCUAUCAAUAAUCUCUAGCAAAAACACAAUAUAUCUUCUUAAGAGCUACAAACUACAACAAUAUAUACACACACCAGAUUAAUCCAAAUUAAUAUGUUUAUGCUUUUAUCUUUUUACAACUUUGAACAAAACGAAAGGAGAAUGUACUUCACUUAAAUGCACUUAUUGAUUAUAUUCAUUUUUUUAAUGUUUGUGGGCUUGUGAUGGUUUUCUAUGUUAUGAUUGUAUUUAAUUUUUUUUUAUUUUUUUUUAUUUUUUUUUAUUACUGUAUGUUUUUUUUAAUCCAUAUGUGUGCAUGAUAUGAUACCAUUUGUAUAGUUAUCAAAGAGUUUAAUUGAGCUAAUCUAUGGAUCCACUGUAUAACCUAAGCAUAUUUGAAAACUAAAUUAUUUUAGAUAAAUAUAAAAAAACCCUUGAGAUUCAUGAUACAACCAUAUUAUUCGUGUUAUAGAAUAAUAUAAAUCAUAUCUUGAGAGCUCAUUUAAUAGCUUAAGCUUUUAGGUUGAGAUGGUUCUCUGACAUGGUAUCAGAGCUUAACAUAACCUCUGUUUUUCGAUCCACCAAUAUGGCCUCGUCUCCUUCAAACUCGAUUACUCCCAUCAACAUCCAUAGCCUUGUCACAAUUAAACUUACCAAGGAUAAUUACCUUCUUUGGAAAACUCAAAUAGUCCCCUAUCUACGUGGUCAACGUCUGUUUGGGUUCGUUGAUGGAAUCAUCUCUAGUCCUGGCCCCACCAUUCCUAAUCUUGAAGCAGCAACCUCCCAAACCGAUCCCACUGAGAUAUCAUAUCCCAACUACAUUACCUAGUAUGAUCAAAAUCAGGUUGUUCUAAGUGCACUGGUUUCCUACUUAUCCGAGAAUAUCCUGGCACAAAUGGUUGGCCUCACAACUUCAAGAGAAGUCUGGGUAGCUCUCGAGAGAAUGUUCGCGUCUCACUCCUCUACCCACACCAUACAAACUCGGUAAUUUUUUGCAUGCACCAAGAAAGGUAACUUGUCAAUUUCUGAUUACUUUCAAAUAAUGAGAUCAUUCUCAGAUAACCCCUUCAAAACCAUGAAUUUACAGCUUACCUUUUUGGUGGUCUCGAUACUUCUUAUGAUGCUAUUGCCACGUCAAUUUCCACUCAAAUUGAUAGAAUGACUUUAGAAGAUAUGUUUAAGAAUCUUCUUGUGUUUGAGUUACGAUUAGAGCAGCAACAAAUUGCCAUUGACACCUCUGUUGGCUUAGUGAACGUGGCCCCAAAGAAUGACUACAGGUCGCGCGGUGGAAAAUAUCCACAGCGGCAAUGCUUCCCUCCGAACCAGUCCCAUGGUUCCAACAACAGAGGAAGGGGACGUGGAAAUAGAGGAAGAGGCCCACCUACAAACUACUCCUCCAACCUAAAACCACAAUGCCAAGUUUGUGGAACAACUGGCCACACCGUCAUUCAAUGUUAUUGUAGGUUCGAUCAUGCCUACCAAGGCACUCUUUCUAAUAUGGUGGCUUAUAUGACAUCUCCCUCAACACAACAUGAUACCAACUGGUAUCUGGAUAUUGGUUCAACAAACCACCUCACCAACAACUUCAGCAACUUGUAUGUGCGAUCAGAACCUUAUCUUGGAAACGACUACAUUCAUGUCAGCGACGGGGCAGGUUUACCUAUAAAAAAUAUUGGUUUCACCACUCUUUCAACCCUUACAAAUUCUUUUAUUUUAAAUAAGUUACUGCAUGUACCUCAGAUUAAGAAGAAUUUUAUUUCUGUUAGCCAAUUUAUGAGUGAUAAUAAUGUUUAUCUUGAAUUUCACUCUUCUUCUUUUUUGGUGAAGGACAAGGCAACAGGGAGAGUUCUUUUGCACGAUAAACCUAAAGACAACCUCUACAUCUUUCUGACCUCCAUGUCACCAAUAAACCAUCCUCAAACAUACUUAUCUCAACGAGCACCUCUUGAUGUCUGGCAUUGCCGAAUGGGACAUCCUUCCUAUCAAAUUAUCUGGCAUCUUGUUUCCAAAUUCUCUUUACCUACUUUGUCUAAUAAAAUUUUGGGUAUUUGUUCGGCUUAUCAAAAGAAAAAAAGUCAUCGCCUUCCUUUUUCUAGUUCUCAAUCAAUCUCUAAUCAUCCUCUUGAAUUAAUUUUCUCCAAUGUUUGAAUCCAUCUCCUAGCAUGUCAACCAAUGGCAAUAAAUACUAUGUUUCGUUUGUUGAUCAUUUUAGCAAAUUUAUAUGGUUAUUUCCAAUCCCUAACAAAUCAAGUGUCAUGCAAAUUUUUUGCUCAUUUCAAAAACUUGUUGAAUGCCAAUUUAAUUGUAAGAUAAAAUCUGUACAAACUGAUUGGGAUGAGAAGUAUCGCUCUCUUCACACAUAGUUUGCAAAUAUUGGCAUUUAACACCGAAUCUCAUGCCCUCAUAUGUCCCAACAAAAUGGAUUCGUUGAAUGGAAACACCGUCACAUCGUUGAAACGGGCCUCUCACUUUUAUCCCAUAGUCAUGUUCCUCACACCUAUUGGGAUAAUGUUUUUCUCAUGGCCACAUAUCUCAUUAAUUUCCUUCCCACCACCCAUCUUAGCUUUUCACCAUUUGAAAAACUCUACAAACAUGCUCCUGAUUUUUCAUCUCUAAAUUUUUUUGGGUGUGCUUGUUUUCCUUUUCUUCACCCAUUCAAUCGCAACAAACUUGACUUCAGAUGUAAAUGUUGUGUCUUCAUUGAUUAUAGCAACUCUCAUUGAGGAUUUAAAUGUCUUGAUAGAUCCAUUUGCAAGAUAUUUGUUUCAAGACAUGUGAUCUUCGAUGAAGGGUCUUUCCCUUUUGCUAACUUAGAUGCAAACCCAAUAUCAAAGAACCAUCUCAAUCUAAAAGCUUAAGCUAUUAGAUGAGGUUCUAAAAUAUGAUUUUUAUUAUUCUCUAAUAAUUCGAUAGUUUUACCCACAUUUACCUAGAAUUUUGUUCAUGUUUUAUAUAUAAAAUACGUUGAAAAUAUUUCUUUUAUAUUUUAAAGGCACUUUCGGAUGUGAAAUUCUAAAAUGAGUAAUUUAGAGAUAAAAUUCAGACAAUGUUCCAUCUCGCGUCGAAUAUUGACAAAUUUAACCUCUAAUCGAUUUUUUUGCAGAACUUGAGUUGUAGAGGUCGAAAUGAAGUGAUUCCAGUGGCAUUAGAAAGCUAACAUCCAUACAUUUCUAUAUGUAUAUGACAGAGAGAGGGAGGUGUUUUCCUUUUCUCUUGAUUUAGGAGGUGGAUGCUACAAGGAAAGAAGUGGGGGAGUGGAUGUAUUUAUAAUUAAUUAAGGUUUAGAGUUACCUUCCU
rnacentral:lncRNA from 1 species